rnacentral:tRNA from 1 species
GGUCAUAGCUCAGCGGUAGAGCGCUUGCCUAGCAUAGAUGAGGCACUGGGUUCAAUCCUCAGCACCA